UUGUUUUCAGUCGUGUUUGUUUGUUUCUUUGUUUGUCGUGUUUGUUCGUCUGUGGACAAGAUGUCUCAAGAACUGUUGGAUGGAUUCGGAUGAAACUUUCUGGGAUGUUUGGCCUCGUGACUGGCACAAACUGAUUAGAUUUUGGGAUCGAUCCGGUACGGGACAAGGAUUCUGGGUUACUUUUCCGUUUUUUAAAAAAAUGUUUUGAGAGCGGUCGGGUUCAUUUAUGGUAUCCUCGUUUGUGAGAGAAGUCGCGUUUAUUUCAGAUAUUCUCAUCUUAAAACUCCUCUCCGGUUAAUCAUUGAGAGGACGUUGGUGUUGCC